UCUUUUGGUUCCUGAGUGUCAGGCAGAUCUUGGUGGGACCUCCAAAUGAAAGAACCUAGUGGGGAAAUCCCCACUCAAUUCUCAAUUCGGCGUGCACCAAAGAAUCACGAACAGACAG
rnacentral:pre_miRNA from 7 species